UACAGGCUUAACACAUGCAAGUCGAGGGGCAGCAUGGUCUUAGCUUGCUAAGGCUGAUGGCGACCGGCGCACGGGUGAGUAACACGUAUCCAACCUGCCGUCUACUCUUGGCCAGCCUUCUGAAAGGAAGAUUAAUCCAGGAUGGGAUCAUGAGUUCACAUGUCCGCAUGAUUAAAGGUAUUUUCCGGUAGACGAUGGGGAUGCGUUCCAUUAGAUAGUAGGCGGGGUAACGGCCCACCUAGUCAACGAUGGAUAGGGGUUCUGAGAGGAAGGUCCCCCACAUUGGAACUGAGACACGGUCCAAACUCCUACGGGAGGCAGCAGUGAGGAAUAUUGGUCAAUGGGCGAUGGCCUGAACCAGCCAAGUAGCGUGAAGGAUGACUGCCCUAUGGGUUGUAAACUUCUUUUAUAAAGGAAUAAAGUCGGGUAUGCAUACCCGUUUGCAUGUACUUUAUGAAUAAGGAUCGGCUAACUCCGUGCCAGCAGCCGCGGUAAUACGGAGGAUCCGAGCGUUAUCCGGAUUUAUUGGGUUUAAAGGGAGCGUAGAUGGAUGUUUAAGUCAGUUGUGAAAGUUUGCGGCUCAACCGUAAAAUUGCAGUUGAUACUGGAUGUCUUGAGUGCAGUUGAGGCAGGCGGAAUUCGUGGUGUAGCGGUGAAAUGCUUAGAUAUCACGAAGAACUCCGAUUGCGA
rnacentral:rRNA from 1 species